UUCCGUUCUAAUUUCUUUUCUUUCAAAGGCUCUUUUAAUUUAUAUAAUCCUGCGUUUGAAAUGGAAUUCGAUCCUUUUGUGCAGGUUAUUUCUUUGAAGAAAAAAAGAAAAGAAAAGAGUAAGAAGAAGCUUUGGAAAAGAAACGCGCGAGCAAUUGUUACAUGCAAAGAUGCAGGAUCAUUUUAAAUAUUUUGAAAUUCCGUGUAUGAAGUACAUGAAACAUUUCAAUAUCUCGUAAUGAUCACUGUUUCCCACAUUUCGAAGAAGACGAUUUCGCGUGGAUAAUUGUUUUGAGCAAGAUAUCUGCACAUGCGCGACCAGCUUAAUUCCAUUCCUUACUUUUUACCGGUCUCGAAUCCGGUAUAUCUUCACUUCCUUUAUUCCCACUGUAUUUAGCUGAGCGCGUGUGCGGUCGACACGUCAAUUAUAUCUGAAUCGAAGGCGACGUUUCAUCGUGAUUACGCCACAAAAUAAAAGCAAUCUGGCUUUUCGUUAAUGGGUAUGAAGAUUCAGACCUGUUUGCACCAUUAUGAUUAUACAGUGAUCGUUAUAAAUAAAUUCGAAGUCUUAAUAGCAAACAAUAAACCUAUUUCUAUAGAAAAUUAUUGCAUUUUUGCUCAUUCAACUUGAGCGUCUUAUCGUAACGCGUAAUAUACUGUUCGAAAUUGGGACAACGAAUCUUAAUCGAGGAAACAAGCAAUAUUCCAGAUGAAUUCUAAAGGAACAAAGGAUUAUCCGCAGGGAAUAAUAAGUACUGAGCUGACUUUUUCAUUGAAUCAGAGAGAAACAAAAUUGUGACGUAAUAUCGAGGUGUUUCGCACAGUUUGUUCACAAUACACCGUUUUAUCAUUAGCCGUGGGGAAAGAGAAGCGUAGGACUCCGCGAUUUAUGAAUGAUUCGGAGGAGUGAAUGAACGGGGUCGACGCAUGCGCACUACCGGUCAGAUUCCAUUCCCAUUCCGAUCUCGCCUCUAUUCUCACUGCUUUAUCCUUUUGCCGCACUCCACGUAGGUACCGUGAACGCACAACAGCUGUAGAAUUUAUAAAAAGAUCUGUCGGACUGGCGGAGCCCUUAUCAAGGUCUCUUCACCACUAUAGCGGCGAGACGUUGAAGGGGAGAAGAACGCACAUUUCUUUCACCGUUACGGAAAUAUUUACACUACUACAUAGAGGCCAAACCAUGCCUGCUGUCGGCUUUGUAUUUUCAUCAAGCGACAAAUAUGAUUUUUCCUGGUACUGUUGAUAACAGUUGAGUUGGAAAAAGCAAGAGCUUCAGAUGCGAUCGCACUUGAGGAGUUUGGAAGAUCACUAUUUUUGAAAACAGUCGCCAUACAAUUUCCUAGAAUUGGCACGAUUGCAUCGUUAGUAUUCAACGGCAUAUUACCAUAAAUCAAACAACUGUAUCCACUUUUUUUUAAAAGAACAACUUUAAUAGAUUUUUCAGCAUGAUUAGAUAUAUCGACAUCUGAAGACUUAAAUCUGCAAUUUUCGAAUUUCCAAAAUUAAAUUACAUUUUCUACUGGUAUAAAAAUAUAUUUUUCCGACAUGUAAAUUUUUUUUAUUGGAAGUAAAAGUAAUAUGCAUAAAUUAUAAUUGCAAAAUGAUUUGCAUAAAUUCUGUGCAUCGAGACCUUGAAGAAAAAACAUUUGUAAUGCAUAUAACAACAUCGUCAUAUAAUGCAAUCAUAAUAGUAAGUUAUAACCAUGAAUGAAGAUCUUCACUCGCAGUUGACAGUCAAAAGGUGACAAAGCUACUGAAUAUUGAACAAACAAGGAUUGUAAAGUUAUGGUCUGAUUUAUUUAUGAAUGUAUUUUCUCCUACGGUGAAAACUGUGUAAUUUUCUUCUACCAUCGCAACUUUCGAUCGUAACUUCUCGAUAUUCUAACCGGCUGAUUUAAUCUGGUGAGUACAGGUCGUUCAAAGUACGUGAGAAAAAUAGAAAGUAUAUAGUUGAUCUUUUUUUCUGUAGAGCUUCAGGGAAACCGAUUUUAAAGAUGCUUGGACUACGUGAACUUUCAGUUAAAUCCAAAUUUUACGAGUCUCUCUGGAUCUUUGUCAAAUUCUUAUGUAAAUUUUUAAAUGCAGAUUUAAAAAUGUUAAUUUUGCAAAAACUGUGAUAAUAUCACUUACAUCUUAGUAAUGACUUAAUAUGAUACUUCAUUGUAGAAUCAAACAAAGCAGUCGUUUCAAGUUGUUAAUUAUUUCAGUAAAUUUAAACAGGCAAUCAAGAACAAUUUAAACGUGACUAAGAUCGCAAAAUUUUUGCGAAAAAUUUGGACAAACAACGGUAUUAAUUAAGCCAAUACGAAACGUGAUAUGCAACAAUUACAAUUUAAUGGGGCCAGGUCACGGUGAAGAGCGCACUGCAACAUAAUUGUUUAUUAAGGAACUCGUCGCCCACGUUAAUUGAGAAGUUACUGUCGAAUUGAUAGUACCGACGUAAAAUAACCUUCAUCGCAGCCGAAGCAUUCUAAUUAGCCCUGGUCUCACGACAAUUAAAUGAGAAAUGUUUGGGAACGCUACACGGUGUAGUAUAUUAACUCUCGUGAUUUUUAAUUUUAUGAUACAUGGAAAACAAUUAUACUCUUCUUUUGUCAAUCUAUUUCAUUCAGAGAAAAACACUGAAUUAAUUACGAUUAAUUACGAUUAAUAAUUAGUGAUCAUUAGUACCAUCAAUUUGCUUUUAUUAAACUUAGUCUUUGAAUAAUUAUCAAUUGAUAGAACAAUUCAUUCACUAUUCUGCCUGUUUGCAGGUGUUAUGUUCAAGACAAAUGUCGUAGCAGCACUUUUCCCAUUUGUCGCAAUCCUUAUCAUCGUUGCAAAGAAUUGGCGGCGGUAAAUGCCAAUCGUAUGUUCGUGCACAAUGAGUUCUCAACGGUGGACAAUGUUUUUCGGGUUCUUCACGAACGUAUAUUUCCGACCAAACAAAGUCGAUUAGCGGAGGUUCAGCGGCGAUCAUCAGUGGAUAGAGGAAGAAAUGCCAGAUGUAUUCCAGCCAACUCUCAGUUUUUCCGCUUGGACAGCAAUAAUAUCGAUGAUCGAUCGUCCUACACCAGUAUCUGCAAAGUUGCCCAUGAUCUUUUCCGUGAGCUUUCAUUGCGCAAACGUAAAUGGCGAAACAAAGUACUACGAUGAAUCUGGACAUCCUGAAAUGCUAUUAUAUAUUGAUAUAAGAGACCGUAGAUAUUUAUUUUACAAGUACUAUAAAAUUACAAGUAUAAUAAUCCAGAUUGCGAUGUUGGUUUGUACAUUCUUUGCUUUAAAGUGCAUUAUACAAAAAGCAAUUGUGAAAGAAAAAGUUAUGAAAACAGAAAUUGUAACAUAGGUAUGUAAAAGAUAUUCCUAUAUCAAGCACUUUAAGUGAUGCAAUUUUUUUAAAAAGAUAGAAAUUUUUGUGAUAUGUUUGAUCAUUUUAGUGAGCUUUCAAAGAGAUAAAUAGAAUAUGUUUGCUACUCACUUGGAUUCCGAGUUCCGUCUAAAAGGGACGGCGCAGCGGACAUCCUUAUAAGUGUCGGAAGAACUUUUCUUAGUUAAACUUCAGUCACGGAACAUUUAUAAAUAAUCACCGAACAAUGAGAAAAACGUCAGAAGUCUCAUUAGAAAUCUCAUUCGACGGAACGUCGAAGCGACAUUGUUAUGAAUUCAGCGAGAAUACAAAAUUUAGCAAUCAUUUGAGAAAACCACUUUCCAUAGAAAGCAGUACCGCACAUAAAUUGUUUCUGCAUUGUUUCCGUUUAGAAUAAAGAUAUUGUCAGGUGCAAGUUUUAUAGAAAUAGUUUUCUCUCAUGAGAAUAUUGCUUGGAAAGAAGAUGGGAAUUUACAAUGGUUUCAGUCUAAAAACGUUCGAAUACUUUCUACUUUUUGAACUACUAUUUGAACAAAUAAUAAGUUAUUCCCUUUUCAAUCAUCUUAGUCACC